GAUGUUAUCGAGGUACUAAGGGCAUUAGCUGUGGUAGCCAUAAGAUUAAGAAAAAAAAAAAAAGCGUUUCUGGUGAGUCUGACAAGCUGCUGUGAAUGAUCAAAGGGGGCAAAACAGGAACAAAAAUGAUAAAAAAAAAAAAAAAAAGGGAGAGAAUUAAAGAAUGAUAGAAGCAACCAAAUUAGGGUUUUUGAUUUGGGUAAUGUAAGGGUAAUUUCCAAGAAAAUCGAGGGGGUUGAUAUGAUUCUGAUGCGAUCCGCCUUCGGAGAGAUCGAGCAAUGGCGCUUCUGGUCCUUGACUCUUUUCUUCUCUCUCUCGAUACUCGUUG
rnacentral:misc_RNA from 1 species